UUGGAGGGCAAGUCUGGUGCCAGCAGCCGCGGUAAUUCCAGCUCCAAUAGCGUAUAUUAAAGUUGUUGCAGUUAAAAAGCUCGUAGUUGAAUUUCGGGGUUAGUAGGUUGGUCAUGCCUCUGGUAUGUACUGGUCUCACUGAUUCCUCCUUCCUUAUGAACCGUAAUGCCGUUAAUUUGGUGUUGCGGGGAAUUUGGACUGUUACUUGAAAAAUUGAGUGUUUAAAGCAAGCUAACGCUUGAAUACAUUAGCAUGGAAUAAUGAAAUAGGACGUUCG
rnacentral:rRNA from 1 species